rnacentral:pre_miRNA from 1 species
UCCUUCAUUCCACCGGGUCCUGUGUCCGAUUCUGAUCCAGAUUCCCAGUGAGAUGAAGCACA